rnacentral:rRNA from 1 species
GCAGCAGUUAGGAAUCUUCUGCAAUGCGCGCAAGCGUGACAGAGUGAGUCAAAGUGCCUGCCAUUAGGUAGGCUUUUGUGGAAUGUAAAAAGUUCUACGAAUAAGGACUGGGUAAGACUAGUGCCAGCCGCCGCGGUAAUACUAGCGGUCCAAGUCGCAGCCAUUCUUAUUGGGUCUAAAACAUCCGUAGCUUGCUUGAUAAGUUUUCUGUGAAAUCUCAUAUCUCAAGUAUAAGAAUUGUGGAAAAUACUGUCAAGCUAGAGACCGGGAGACGUAAAGAGUACGUCUAAAGUAGCGGUAAAAUGUGUUGAUCUUAGGCGGACUGACGAUAGCGAAGGCACUUUACGAGAACGGUUCUGACAGUAAGGGAUGAAGGCUAGGGGCGCAAAACGGAUUAGAUACCCGUGUAGUCCUAGCAGUAAACACUGCACACUAAACCUUGUGAUCUCUUCGAGAGAUUGCAGGGCUGCAGGGAAGCCGAAGAGUGUGCUACCUGGGAAGUAUAGUCGCAAGGCUGAAACUUAAAGGAAUUGGCGGGGAGACACUACAACGGGUGACGCGUGCGGUUCAAUUAGAUUAUACACCGUGAACCUCACCAGGAGCGACAGCAGAAUGAAGGUCAGUCUAAAGGGCUUACCUGACACGCUGAGAGGGGUUGCAUGGCCGACGUCAGCCUGUGCUGUGAGGCGAUCUGUUAAAUCAGAUAACAGGCAAGACCCACAUCUUUAUUUACUAC